rnacentral:sRNA from 13 species
AUAAGAUGCUGAGUAUAGCUUAGUUCUCCUGAGAUGUAGGCAAUGAAAAGAACUACAAGUUAUGAGGAACAGGAAAAAGCAGUGUAGCAAGCUUAUCCAAAAGUUUUUUUUAGUCAAGCCUAUUCCAUUCCUGUGGUUCUCUAGCCAUCAAGAAUUCUGGACCUGUUUCAACAUACUUUUCCAUUCAUCUGUCUAUUGAGCUUAUAAGGGAAGUAGUUCAUUUUAAUGUUCAGAUUUACCUUUUUUUUUUUUUUUAAAUAAAAUGUUAUUGUUUUAUUUUUUUAUGUAUACUGAAGUAAAAUGCAAAUUAUGAAUAUUCUAAUUUUUAAAUGUUUCAUUUGAAUUUUAUCUUUUGUAUUAGUGCUUUCAUUGGUGAAUAUCAGUGUUAACAUAAUUUAUUAUUUAUUUAGGACAUUUGUGCUUUUCACUAAGCUUUUUCAUCAUGGAUAUCCUUGGGCUCAACAUUAGAUAACAAUUUGAAUAUUCUUUGUCCACUUGGCCUUUGAUUAAGAUGUUGAAUAGAUCUUAUUCAAGAAAUGGAGUGCCACACAGAUUUGUAAACCAUCUCUAAGUAGUAAAUGUGAAGAGCAGAAAUAGUAGACUUAAAACAAGGCAACACAUCUUAACAAGAUGUCAGAUGAUGACAGUUUUCUCUUUGGCAUUUUUAUGAAUUAAAGCUUUGAAGGCCAAACCUUAGAUUUGGUUAGCAUAACCCUGAACUGCAUAUCAACAAAUGUUUGAUGGUCUGUUUUGGUUCAUCUCUCUCACUAUGAGGAUGGCUACAGAGGUAUCAGCUAUCAGCAGUGCACCUCCGUGAUGUACAAGUCUUCAUUGCCAAACAGUGACCCACUUUACUGCAAUUCAAUGUCAGGAGUCUGGAUAUGUCAGCCCAAGGGGAUCACGCUUAUGUCCAAGGUUACUUAGGUAAUUCUCUAAGAACAAUAGGUUAGCAGCUCAAUCAUUGUGCACUGAUAUCUCCACUGAUGCCUUGAGUCUCCACUGAUGCCUUGAGUCUCCACUGAUGCCUUGAGUCUCCACUGAUGCCUUGGUUCUCCACUGAUGCCUUGGUUCUCCACUGAUGCCUUGAUUCUCCACUGAUGCCUUGGUUCUCCACUGUCGCCUUAAUUGCCAUAAAUUUAUCUACUGAUCCACAUAUCAAGGAUAGCAUUGGACCUGUUAGGUUAAAAACACAAAUUAAUGAACUCACAUUAGGCUGCAUUACUUCAUAGAAAUUUAAAACUAAAUGGUCAAUUAAACAUGAGGUCAAGGAAAAAGGAUGAACAUUUCAAGGCUGCAGGAGGAACAUUAAACAUCUCUCUCACUGUGAAAAGAUUCUAUCGAUCUACAAAUGGUCAACAUGUUUUAUCUAAAGUUCCUUUGCCAUUUCUUCAAAUGGAGCCAUAGUCAGAAUAAGAUUCUUUUUGUUCUUCCUGAGGUUCAAAUGUAUCAGUUGUUUUUGUUGACAGAUAUCAAGUCAUUUCAGUUCUCAAUUAUUUUGUGCGACAAGUGACAAGAACAAAUUCAAGCGAGAGAGGUCACUACACUAAGACUUUGUCUUCUCAUAAGAAUGGAUGGCUGCCUGGUCAUGUCGUAUGUG